GUGCCAGCCGCCGCGGUAAUACCGGCAGCCCAAGUGAUGGCCGCUGUUAUUGGGCCUAAAGCGUCCGUAGCUGGCCGCGCAAGUCCGUCGGGAAAUCCACCUGCCCAACAGGUGGGCGUCCGGCGGAAACUGUGUGGCUUGGAACCGGAAGGCUCAGAGGGUACGUCCGGGGUAGGAGUGAAAUCCCAUAAUCCCGCACGGACCACCGAUGGCGAAAGCACUUCGAGAAAACGGAUCCGACAGUGAGGGACGAAAGCCAGGGUCUCCAACCGGAUUAGAAACCCAGGUAGUCC
rnacentral:rRNA from 1 species